CGCCUCUUGACUAAAUAUAAGAGGUCCAGCCUGCCCAGUGACUCUGUUCAACGGCCGCGGUAUCCUAACCGUGCGAAGGUAGCGUAAUCACUUGUUCUUUAAAUGAGGACUAGUAUGAAUGGCACCACGAAGGUUAUACUGUCUCCUUUUUCUAAUCAGUGAAACUAAUCUCCCCGUGAAGAAGCGGGGAUAAAAAUAUAAGACGAGAAGACCCUAUGGAGCUUUAAACUAAGUAACACCUGCUCUCAAACAUCUUUACUUCCGAGUGCCAACAAUAACUUCGGCUUGCUGAUUACUAGUUUUAGGUUGGGGUGACCGCGGAGUAUAAAACAACCUCCGCAUUGAAUGGGAACUUUCCUGAGCCACGAGCUACAACUCUAUGCACUAACAUAUUAACAUUUAUUGACCCAAUAUUUUUGAUCAACGAACUAAGUUACCCUAGGGAUAACAGCGCAAUCCGCUUCAAGAGCUCCUAUCGACAAGCGGGUUUACGACCUCGAUGUUGGAUCAGGGUAUCCCAGUGGUGCAGCCGCUACUAAAGGUUCGUUUGUUCAACGAUUAAAACCCU
rnacentral:rRNA from 1 species